rnacentral:rRNA from 1 species
GACGAACGCUGGCGGCGCGCCUAACACAUGCAAGUCGAACGAGCGAGAGAGAGCUUGCUUUCUUGAGCGAGUGGCGAACGGGUGAGUAACGCGUGAGGAACCUGCCUCAAAGAGGGGGACAACAGUUGGAAACGACUGCUAAUACCGCAUAAGCCCACGACCCGGCAUCGGGUUGAGGGAAAAGGAGCAAUCCGCUUUGAGAUGGCCUCGCGUCCGAUUAGCUAGUUGGUGAGGUAACGGCCCACCAAGGCGACGAUCGGUAGCCGGACUGAGAGGUUGAACGGCCACAUUGGGACUGAGACACGGCCCAGACUCCUACGGGAGGCAGCAGUGGGGAAUAUUGCACAAUGGGGGAAACCCUGAUGCAGCGACGCCGCGUGGAGGAAGAAGGUCUUCGGAUUGUAAACUCCUGUUGUUGAGGAAGAUAAUGACGGUACUCAACAAGGAAAUGACGGCUAACUACGU